rnacentral:rRNA from 1 species
AACGAACGCUGGCGGCAUGCCUAACACAUGCAAGUCGAACGAGACCUUCGGGUCUAGUGGCGCACGGGUGCGUAACGCGUGGGAAUCUGCCCUCAGGUACGGAAUAACUCAGGGAAACUUGAGCUAAUACCGUAUAAUGACUUCGGUCCAAAGAUUUAUCGCCUGGGGAUGAGCCCGCGUCGGAUUAGCUAGUUGGUGAGGUAAAGGCUCACCAAAGCGACGAUCCGUAGCUGGUCUGAGAGGAUGAUCAGCCACACUGGGACUGAGACACGGCCCAGACUCCUACGGGAGGCAGCAGUGGGGAAUAUUGGACAAUGGGCGCAAGCCUGAUCCAGCAAUGCCGCGUGAGUGAUGAAGGCCUUAGGGUUGUAAAGCUCUUUUACCCGGGAAGAUAAUGACUGUACCGGGAGAAUAAAGCCCUGGCUAACUCCGUGCCAGCAGCCGCGGUAAUACGGAGGGGGCUAGCGUUGUUCGGAAUUACUGGGCGUAAAGCGCACGUA